rnacentral:rRNA from 1 species
AUUGAACGCUGGCGGCAGGCCUAACACAUGCAAGUCGAACGAGUGGCGGACGGGUGAGUAAUGUCUGGGAAACUGCCUGAUGGAGGGGGAUAACUACUGGAAACGGUAGCUAAUACCGCAUACCAUCGGAUGUGCCCAGAUGGGAUUAGCUAGUUGGUGGGGUAACGGCUCACCAAGGCGACGAUCCCUAGCUGGUCUGAGAGGAUGACACGCCCAAAUGGAAAUGAGACACGGGCCAGAACCCUACGGGAGGCAGCAGUGGGGAAAAUUGCAAAAUGGGCGGAAGCCUGAUGCAGCCAUGCCGGGUGUAAGAAGAAGGCCUUCGGGUUGGAAAGUAAUUUCAACGGGGAGGCGUUAACCGAAGAAGAAGCACCGGCUAAAUCCGUGGCAGCAGCCGCGGUAAUUC